GCCUGGCUGGCUCAGUCGGUUAAGUGUCCGACUUCAGCUCAGGUCACGAUCUCGCAGUCCGUGAGUUCGAGCCCCACGUCAGGCU
rnacentral:tRNA from 1 species